UCGCCGCCCUCGCAGCUCCGCUGGCGUCCAAGGUCCAGCGUCUCGCGGACAAUGUCCAGGUUUUUCCGAAACGCUCCGAUCGUCUCGCGCUCUAUUUUGGCUCCCGAUUGAGUUGGGGAUUUGACUAUUUCGAAUUUUUGCUUCUUGCUUCGGUUGAUUCCUUCUCUGUUGCCGAGCUCUGAGAAGAGCGAUUUCCGGAUGCAGCUUGCGAGGCAGGAUUACUUGGAGCUGAGACAAGAGGCGAUUGAACUGCAGGAGUAUUCCAACACGAAGCUCAAUCGAGUCACGCAGUCACGCGCUACCUCGGCGUUCUCGCCGACAAGAAGCCGAAACUAGAUCAAGUCGCCCUUGAAGGUGAGGCUAGGAUAGCACCGCUCGUCUGUGAGAAGAGGAAGUUGUUCAAUGAGUUGUUGACAUCCAAAGGAAGGAUCUAGCCAUGAUCGUGGUCUGUAUGCUCGUUGUUUCGAGGAGUUCUUCGAUUUAGUGAAUUCAGAUGCAACUGCUACAUCUAGAUAUGAAUUUUUUGUCACAGUUUAGAACUCCACAAUGAACAGGAGGGGCAUAUCGAAGUUCUAUGAUGGCAAGUGAAAAUCUUUCACGAGCUUAGCAAAUGCUUCUAUUUCUUCAUCUGUUAAAGAGAUCGUAAAAUUGAAAAAUGCUUACAGCAGAAGGUGUAGAAAUAUCUUCGCAUCCAGUCACAUGUUGGACAGAAGCUGCAAUUUUUCCUUGGGAAGCAACGUGGUGGGGAUAUCUAAGAGAAGACCGCUCACCUUGAGCAACGGUGCAUUGUUUUGAAGGUUGCUGCUAUGUGCAACUCAGAGAGUUUUAGUUCCGCAAGUGAAGACUCGAUGACUGAAAAAGCUGACCCUGAGGAUUUAGCUUGAGAUCUAUAGAUUGUGCUCGGCCUAGUUCGGUUUCAUACCCACGAGGUUCAUUUGCGUUUGGGGGUGUAUGGUUUUUAUUCAGGUUUUGGAUACAUCUUCCACUUGUACUAAGUAAUUUAUUUCUCCACGAGGAUAUUAGGUUGUUGCAAAACUACGAAGCGAGCAGGGCAAAGCCACAUCUGAGGUGCAAAGCCAUUGCCCAUGUAUUUUGCGGGACGAUGGACUGGUAGUAUGUAUAUGUGUUC